GCCUGGGUGGCCCAGUCGGUGGAGGGUCUGACUUCAGCUCAGGUCAUGAUCUCGCAGUUCGUGGGUUCGAGCCCCGCGUCGGGCU
rnacentral:tRNA from 1 species